AGCAGAAAGCAGAAAGUAGGCUCUGAGCAUGACGCGUCAUGACGUUUCACACAUUUAUACUGUGUGUGUGGCAGAACACGGGCAGAUAAAUGCAGACUGAUCUAUAUUAUAUUUUAUGUAUAAAGUUUUAACAUGUUAAAUAAAAAAAAUCAUGUUAAGAAAUAAUGUAACGAUAUUUAAACUAUCUCUAAGAUGUUGACAUUACAAAUUUAUUAAAAAGUUUAUUUAAAAAGUGCUAAUUGAUUCCUUGCUGAAAAAAGAUAAACUGAGAAGCCUUUUCUUUUUUUUCGCUGAGCUAAUUGUGGAAAGACAUGAUAGAUCUUAACAUCGGAAAAAAGCCAGAAGGUCUGCUGCAUAUGGCAAAAUUUAUCAUUUGAAGGCUAAGGAGAAAAAGUUAUCAACUGGUAAUAUGGCUGAUGUUCAAUAGUGACAAGAUGAAGCCCAGCCUUGUGAAGAGGUCAACGAAAAAUUGGAUCUUAGUUUUGAGUGGCGCAAAAGUUUAUUUUUCUCGGACGCUACACUUAGCUUAUCGAGGAAUGGCCCAUUCUUAAGCAGAAUUUUGAACACAAAUUGAUUGUGUCAAUUUUUUCUCUCAUUUCUUUAAAAGGAAGUCCAGUGUUUUAUCUUACUAAAAACAUUCCCUCAACAAAGCGAAGAUAAAAAGGACGCAGAUGAUUCACGCUAUUUUAGUCCCCACCAAAAGGGGAAAACGUGGUGCUUCUGGAAAUUUAAAAGUCAAGUAUACAAUUCACGAUUCGAGGGUCAACUUUAUUAUAUACCAUAAAUAAAGUCUUAUGUGAAAGGAAGAACUGAAGAGAGCUUUAAAAUGAAAUAAAUGUAAAUGUAAAAAUAAUUUAAAAAUAUGUAAAUGUAA